AGAGUUUGAUCCUGGCUCAGGAUGAACGCUGGCGGCGUGCUUAACACAUGCAAGUCGAACGAAGCAUUUGCGACAGAUUUUUUCGGAAUGAAGUUGCUUAUGACUGAGUGGCGGACGGGUGAGUAACGCGUGGGUAACCUGCCUUGUACUGGGGGAUAGCAGCUGGAAACGGCUGGUAAUACCGCAUAAGCGCACAAUGUUGCAUGACAUGGUGUGAAAAACUCCGGUGGUAUAAGAUGGACCCGCGUCUGAUUAGCUAGUUGGUGAGAUAACAGCCCACCAAGGCGACGAUCAGUAGCCGACCUGAGAGGGUGACCGGCCACAUUGGGACUGAGACACGGCCCAAACUCCUACGGGAGGCAGCAGUGGGGAAUAUUGCACAAUGGGGGAAACCCUGAUGCAGCGACGCCGCGUGAGUGAAGAAGUAUUUCGGUAUGUAAAGCUCUAUCAGCAGGGAAGAAAAUGACGGUACCUGACUAAGAAGCCCCGGCUAACUACGUGCCAGCAGCCGCGGUAAUACGUAGGGGGCAAGCGUUGUCCGGAAUAAUUGGGCGUAAAGGGCGCGUAGGCGGCUCGGUAAGUCUGGAGUGAAAGUCCUGCUUUUAAGGUGGGAAUUGCUUUGGAUACUGUCGGGCUUGAGUGCAGGAGAGGUUAGUGGAAUUCCCAGUGUAGCGGUGAAAUGCGUAGAGAUUGGGAGGAACACCAGUGGCGAAGGCGACUAACUGGACUGUAACUGACGCUGAGGCGCGAAAGUGUGGGGAGCAAACAGGAUUAGAUACCCUGGUAGUCCACACUGUAAACGAUGAAUGCUAGGUGUAGGGGGUAUCGACCCCUUCUGUGCCGCAGUCAACACAAUAAGCAUUCCGCCUGGGGAGUACGGCCGCAAGGUUGAAACUCAAAGGAAUUGACGGGGGCCCGCACAAGCAGCGGAGCAUGUGGUUUAAUUCGACGCAACGCGAAGAACCUUACCAGGUCUUGACAUCCACUUAAACUUACAGAGAUGUAAGGUGUGCUUGCACAAAGUGAGACAGGUGGUGCAUGGUUGUCGUCAGCUCGUGUCGUGAGAUGUUGGGUUAAGUCC
rnacentral:rRNA from 1 species